rnacentral:tRNA from 1 species
GUUUGCCGUGGAAUGCGCAGCAGAUUGUGGCGGCGUUGCAGGCGACUCGUGUGGUCGGUCGACUGGAUCGCCGCUCGUUCGAGUGGAACGGCAAGCG